rnacentral:rRNA from 1 species
UACGUGGGGGGCAAGCGUUGUUCGGAAUUACUGGGCGUAAAGGGCUCGUAGGCGGCCCACUAAGUCGGAUGUGAAAUCCCCAAGCUUAACUUGGGAACUGCAUCCGAUACUGGAUGGCUUGAAUCCGGGAGAGGGAUGCAGAAUUCCAGGUGUAGCGGUGAAAUGCGUAGAUAUCUGGAGGAAUACCGGUGGCGAAGGCGGCAUCCUGGACCGGCAUUGACGCUGAGGAGCGAAAGCUAGGGGAGCAAACGGG